AGGUUAUUGACAAAGUGCCAGCGGCGGAGAGAACAGGCGGAUAGUAAAGACGCCGUAAAUCCCUUCCUGGAGGUUCGAGCCGCGCCGUCCUGGUGCGGACGCUUU
rnacentral:ncRNA from 1 species